rnacentral:rRNA from 1 species
CUGCUGCCUCCCGUAGGAGUUUGGGCCGUGUCUCAGUCCCAAUGUGGCCGUCCACCCUCUCAGGCCGGCUACUGAUCGCUGCCUUGGUGGGCCGUUACCCCGCCAACUAGCUAAUCAGACGCGGGUCCAUCUCAUACCACCGGAGUUUUUCACACAAAACCAUGCGGUUCCGUGCGCUUAUGCGGUAUUAGCAGUCAUUUCUGGCUGUUAUCCCCCUGUAUGAGGCAGGUUACCCACGCGUUACUCACCCGUCCG